ACUAUAGAAGCUCGCUGCUUCUUAUUUACC
rnacentral:tRNA from 1 species